AUCUCGAUCGAUAUCAAAACUCCCAAGUUAUGGCAAUGAAAUAUUCACGAUCUUUGCUCUUUGGUGUGCUGCUACUCAUUGGCUUUGCAUUGACAAAUAGCAAAGCAACUCAUACAGAUCCACCUGUUCAUUGCGAAUUUCUCAAUCGCAGCAGUUUUGAACCAGGGUUUAUAUUUGGCACAGGUUCCGCAGCUUACCAGUAUGAAGGUGCAGUAAAAGAAGAUGGAAGAGGCCCAAGCAUAUGGGAUACCUUCACCCACAAACAUCCAG